GCGCACCUAGCGGCGUGCUUAACACAUGCAAGUCGAGCGGUAAGGCCCUUCGGGGGUACACGAGCGGCGAACCGCCUAUUACGGGUGAGUAACACGUGGGUGACCUGCCCUCAGCUCUGGGCGGGAAACUGGGUCUAAUACCGGAUAUGACCUGCUGUUGCAUGACAGCGGGUGGAAAGUUUUUAGGAUGGGCCCGCGGCCUAUCAGCUUGUUGGUGGGGUGAUGGCCUACCAAGGCGACGACGGGUAGCCGGCCUGAGAGGGCGACCGGCCACACUGGGACUGAGAUACGGCCCAGACUCCUACGGGAGGCAGCAGUGGGGAAUAUUGCGCAAUGGGCGAAAGCCUGACGCAGCGACGCCGCGUGGGGGAUGACGGCCUUCGGGUUGUAAACCUCUUUCGACCGGGACGAAGGGAAACUGACGGUACCGGUAGAAGAAGCACCGGCCAACUACGUGCCAGCAGCCGCGGUAAUACGGCGAGCGUUGUCCGGAAUUAUUGGGCGUAAAGAGCUCGUAGGCGGAAGGCGCUAUAGCUGUGUCACGUCGGUCGUGAAAACUUGGGGCUUAACCCUGAGCGUGCGGUCGAUACGGGCAUCACUUGAGUUCGGCAGGGGAGACUGGAAUUCCUGGUGUAGCGGUGAAAUGCGCAGAUAUCAACGGCAUCGGAGGAACACCGGUGGCGAAGGCGGGUCUCUGGGCCGACACUGACGCUGAGGAGCGAAAGCGUGGGGAGCGAACAGGUAGAUACCCUGGUAGUCCACGCCGUAAACGGUGGGCACUAGGUGUGGGGGCCAAGCGGCAAUUCCACGGUCUCUGCCGCAGCUAACGCAUUAAGUGCCCCGCCUGGGGAGUACGGCCGCAAGGCUAAAACUCAAAGGAAUUGACGGGGGCCCGCACAAGCGGCGGAGCAUGUGGAUUAAUUCGAUGCAACGCGAAGAACCUUACCUGGGUUUGACAUGCACUAGACGCGUCUAGCUGGUGUGCAGGUGGUGCAUGGCUGUCGUCAGCACGCAUGCACUCGUGUCGUGAGAUGUUGGGUUAAGUCCCGCAACGAGCGCAACCCUCGUUCCAUGUUGCCAGCGGGUUAUGCCGGGGACUCAUGGGAGACUGCCGGGGUCAACUCGGAGGAAGGUGGGGAUGACGUCAAGUCAUCAUGCCCCUUAUGUCCAGGGCUUCACACAUGCUACAAUGGCUAGUACAGAGGGCUGCGAGACCGCGAGGUGGAGCGAAUCCCUUAAAGCUAGUCUCAGUUCGGAUCGGGGUCUGCAACUCGACCCCGUAGCUUGCGAACGAAGUUGGAGUCGCUAGUAAUCGCAGAUCAGCAACGCUGCGGUGAAUACGUUCCCGGGCCUUGUACACACCGCCCGUCACGUCAUGAAAGUUGGUAACACCCGAAGCCGAUGGCCUAACCCCUUGUGGGAGGGAGUCGUCGAAGACGCUGCCACUGCA
rnacentral:rRNA from 1 species